GAGCUUGCUCCACCGGAAAAAGAAGAGUGGCGAACGGGUGAGUAACACGUGGGUAACCUGCCCAUCAGAAGGGGAUAACACUUGGAAACAGGUGCUAAUACCGUAUAACAAUCAAAACCGCAUGGUUUUGAUUUGAAAGGCGCUUUCGGGUGUCGCUGAUGGAUGG
rnacentral:rRNA from 1 species